rnacentral:rRNA from 1 species
CGCUGGCGGCGUGCCUAACACAUGCAAGUCGAACGAAGCACUCGGAGCUUGCUUUGAGUGACUUAGUGGCGGACGGGUGAGUAAUGCGUGAGCAACCUGCCCUGAAGGAGGGGGACAACAGUUGGAAACGACUGCUAAUACCGCAUGAUGUAUUCUGGGGGCAUCCCCGGGAUACCAAAGAUUUAUCGCUUCAGGAUGGGCUCACGUCUGAUUAGCUAGUUGGUGAGGUAACGGCCCACCAAGGCUGCGAUCAGUAGCCGGACUGAGAGGUUGAACGGCCACAUUGGGACUGAGAUACGGCCCAGACUCC